AUGUUUAGACCAAACAUACAUGAGAAAAGGGCUCGGCUCAAUGAGGUAGCUAGAUCACGUGAUGCAAUUGUUGUCCAAAGGAUCCGAUCAUCAGUACGCAGUGCAGCUGAUGAAGUUCAUAUAGGUGGUCAAAAAUUUAUGUGGGUGCCGAUCAAUCGUAGAAGUGAUGCAAAAGCACAUGAUGGAACUGUGCGUGGCUGCACCAAGAUUAGCGCAAUAAAAGAUAAUAGUUUACAAGAUGAUUUGCAGCCUAGUGUGCAGACACACGUAGACAGAAAAAUUGUACGUACUAGUGAGUUGGUUGAUGCAUCUGCUGAUGAAUUUACUAGAGACAGUGGGAAAAUUGAGGCCAUAGGUACAGAGGAAAAUAGUGAUGGUGUGAAGUUGCAGUAG
rnacentral:rRNA from 1 species